AAGUCGUAACAAGGUUUCCGUAGGUGAACCUGCGGAAGGAUCAUUAAAGAGUUAGGGUCUUCUAGGCCCGAUCUCCCAACCCUUUGUUUACCAAACCAUUUGUUGCUUCGGCGAGCCCGUCCCUCGGGACCGCCGGGGGUCUUCUCAAGGAUCCCUGGCCCGUGCUCGUCGGUGGCCCCAAUCUUUAAAUUCUUAACUAAACGUGUCAUGACUGAGUACCAAUUUUUUAAUUAAAACAAAACUUUCAACAACGGAUCUCUUGGUUCUG
rnacentral:misc_RNA from 1 species